rnacentral:rRNA from 1 species
AGUGAACGCUGGCGGUAGGCCUAACACAUGCAAGUCGAACGGCAGCACAGUAAGAGCUUGCUCUUACGGGUGGCGAGUGGCGGACGGGUGAGGAAUACAUCGGAAUCUACUUUUUCGUGGGGGAUAACGUAGGGAAACUUACGCUAAUACCGCAUACGACCUACGGGUGAAAGCAGGGGAUCUUCGGACCUUGCGCGAUUGAAUGAGCCGAUGUCGGAUUAGCUAGUUGGCGGGGUAAAGGCCCACCAAGGCGACGAUCCGUAGCUGGUCUGAGAGGAUGAUCAGCCACACUGGAACUGAGACACGGUCCAGACUCCUACGGGAGGCAGCAGUGGGGAAUAUUAGACAAUGGGCGCAAGCCUGAUCCAGCCAUACCGCGUGGGUGAAGAAGGCCUUCGGGUUGUAAAACCCUUUUGUUGGGAAAGAAAAGCAGCAGGUUAAUACCCCGCUGUUCUGACGGUACCCAAAGAAUAAGCACCGGCUAACUUCGUG